rnacentral:rRNA from 1 species
GAUGAACGCUGGCGGCGUGCCUAAUACAUGCAAGUCGAGCGAACGGACGAGAAGCUUGCUUCUCUGAUGUUAGCGGCGGACGGGUGAGUAACACGUGGAUAACCUACCUAUAAGACUGGGAUAACUUCGGGAAACCGGAGCUAAUACCGGAUAAUAUUUUGAACCGCAUGGUUCAAAAGUGAAAGACGGUCUUGCUGUCACUUAUAGAUGGAUCCGCGCUGCAUUAGCUAGUUGGUAAGGUAACGGCUUACCAAGGCAACGAUGCAUAGCCGACCUGAGAGGGUGAUUCGCCACACUGGAACUGAGACACGGUCCAGACUCCUAAGGGAGGCAGCAGUAGGGAAUCUUCCGGCAUGGGCGAAAGCCUGACGGAGCAACGCCGCGUGAGUGAUGAAGGUCUUCGGAUCGUAAAACUCUGUUAUUAGGGAAGAACAUAUGUGUAAGUAACUGUGCACAUCUUGACGGUACCUAAUCAGAAAGCCACGGCUAACUACGUG